CAGUAGCCGCGGUAAUACGUAGGGUGCGAACGUUAAUCGGAAUUACUGGGCGUAAAGCGUGCGCAGGCGGUUCGUUAAGACAGAUGUGAAAUCCCCGGGCUUAACCUGGGAACUGCAUUUGUGACUGGCGCGCUAGAGUAUGACAGAGGGGGGUAGAAUUCCACGUGUAGCAGUGAAAUGCGUAGAGAUGUGGAGGAAUACCGAUGGCGAAGGCAGCCCCCUGGGCCAAUACUGACGCUCAUGCACGAAAGCGUGGGGAGCAAACAGGAUUAGAUACCCCCGUAGUCCCUGUCUCUUAUAC
rnacentral:rRNA from 1 species